rnacentral:rRNA from 1 species
AAUCAACGCUGGCGGCGUGCCUCAGACAUGCAAGUCGAACGAUUAAAGCUCUCUUCGGAGAGUGUAUAGAGUGGCGCACGGGUGAGUAACACGUAAGUAAUCUACCCUCGAGUGGGGAAUAACAACCGGAAACGGUUGCUAAUACCGCAUAAUGCAGCGGCACCGCAAGGUGACAGUUGUUAAAGAUUUAUCGCUUGAGGAGGAGCUUGCGGCAGAUUAGCUAGUUGGUAGGGUAACGGCUUACCAAGGCUACGAUCUGUAACCGGUCUAAGAGGACGGUCGGUCACACUGACACUGAAUAACGGGUCAGACUCCUACGGGAGGCAGCAGUCGGGAAUUUUGGGCAAUGGGCGAAAGCCUGACCCAGCAACGCCGCGUGAAGGAUGAAGUAUUUCGGUAUGUAAACUUCGAAAGAAUAGGAAGAAUUAAUGACGGUACUAUUUAUAAGGUCCGGCUAACUGCGUG